AUUUGAACUGCGUGCCUCUGUUUGCAACUCCAUGGUACUUACAAGAAGGAUAAUUGGAUAAUUUGGAUAUUUUCGACGAGGAUCUGACCAUGUGAAUGUCUUGAGAGGAGAAAGGGGUAACGUUAGCCUAAUUUAGCAUGCUAACGAUAGCUGAAGGACUCAUUUUCAGAUCACACGCAGAUGUCUGCCACCACUGCUGAUCUUGAAAAGAUGGGUAACCUGCCUGUGACUCCUCGUUUGAUCCUGCAUGGUCCAGAUGUUACUCCGGGCCAGUGGAUGAAACAAUGGAUGAUCAGCAUGGAAGGCAGAGUAAUCUGUGAGGGUGUGCAGCCACAUUUUUUUCUGGACUUGCUGCAGUGUUUUCUUUGUACAACAUCUUCAGUUUGCAGUACCAGGAGGAAACAGCAUGCACACUGGAAUUCCUUCAAAGAUGCUGUGCUGGGAUAAAUCCAGAGAAGGGAACCUGCAAGGGGAAGGCUGCGAGGGGAAAUGUGACAUCAAAAAAAAAAAAAAAACUGGCAAGACAGUUCAUGAGAAGACCAUGACCGUAAACCCCAAGGUUUCAAAUCUUUUAAAGAAACUAAUGGACUUUUUUUGAUGGGACUUUAUUUAAAAUGUAGCUAGCUGGCAACCCCCCCCCCCUACUUUUGCAAUAUUGUUAUAUAAACC